rnacentral:lncRNA from 10 species
UUUCUUUCUUUCUUUCUUUCAGACAGUCUUACUCUGUUGACCAGGCUUGAGUACAGUGGCAUAACCAAUUAUAGCUCACUGUAGCCUCAAACUCAGGGCUCAGGUGAUCCUCCAACCUCAGCCUCCCAAGUAGCUAGGACUACAGGUGCAUGCCAUCACACCCAGCUAAUUUUUAUUUUAUUUUUUCUAGAGACCAGGGUCUCACUAUGUUGUCCAGGCUGGUCUUGAACUCUUGACCUCAAGUGAUCCUCUGGCCUCGGCCUCUCAAAGUGCUAGAUUACAGGCAUGAGCCACUGAACCUGACCUACUUUUCCAUAUUGCUUGAAUUUUCCAUUAUAAGUAUGUUAUAUUUUCAGUGUUACAAAAAAUUUUUUUUGAGACAGAGUCUUGCCCUGUCACUCAGGCUGGAGUGCAGCAGCACAAUCUCAGCUCACAGCAGCCUUGACCUCUCAGGCUCAAGCCAUCCUUGCACCUCAGCCUCCUGAGUAGCUGGGACCACAGGCAUGCACUACCAAGGCUGGCUAAUUUUUAAAUUUUUUGUUGAGAUGGAGUCUCACUAUGUUGUCCAGGCUGGUCUUGAAUUCCUGGGCUCAAACAAUCCUCCCAUCUCAACCUCCCAAAAAAGUGUUGAGUGGCAUGAGCCACUGGACCUGGCAAACAUUUUAAUUGAGCAGCUAUUUGUGAGUCACAGAUGGCAAACACCCUGACUUUAAUCACCUCACAUUUUGAUCGAUCUGAAAAGUAAAUACUUUGCCUACCAUUGUCUUUUGUUAAAGCGCAGCACCUCCUGCUCCCAUGCCACCACCCCUCACCACUUCCUAAGUUUUCUCUAAGAUUCAAGCACUUUCCAAAUAUUCCAUUCAGUACACAGUUAUCUGGUGUGAUGGCCUCUGCACAGCAUGGCUCCUGGCCUUCAGAGCCCUCAAUCUAGGCAGGAGACAGAAGUGAACAGAAUCGUUCUGAUCAAGGGCUGUAAGUACUAGAACGGAAGAACAGUGUGCUGUGGGAAGAAAUGGAGAAAGAAAGGAGAAUUCCUACUAAAAUGGAGGCGAAGGAGGCAUUUCAGGUAGAGGAACUAGCUUGAGCAAAGGCCAGGUAGUAGAGCCACACAGGAUGUAUGAUUUGUGUGGUUAGCAUGAUGCAAAACAGGUGACUACAGGGUGGCCUUGAAUGCUGGUAUAAGACGUUUUUGCUUUAUCCUAGAGAGAAUGAGGAGCCACUGGAGGGAUCCAAACAGAGAAGUGUCAUGAUCUGAUGUGAGGUGGGAUGGUCAACCUGAUGGUGGUGUAGACAGUGGAUGGGAGAGACCCAAGGCCAGAGACAGGGUCUUGCUCUGUUGUCCAUCCUGGAGUACAAUGGUGCAAUCAAUCAUAGCUCACUGCAGCCUUGACCACCCGGGUCAAGCAAUCCUCCAUCUCGGCCUCCCAAAGUGCUGGGAUUACAGGUAUGAACCCCUGCAUCCGGCAACACUUUAUAUUGUUAGGCCUUUUAAUUUUUCCCAAUCUGGUGGACUGGGCAAAAAAUAGUAUCUCACUUUUCUUUUCAUGGCUUUAGUGGCUAUUUGAAUAUUCCUUUGUAUGAAUUUUCUGUUCAUAUGUUUCUCAUUUUUCUGUUGGGUUGUCUUUUUCUUACAGAUUAUAGAAAUUCUUUAUAUAUUCUGAUAGAUACAUUAUAUAUUGCAAAUAUCUCCCAGUAAAUUGUUCACCUUUUAAUCUUGCACAUGGUAUAUUUUGCCUGAGAUAAGAUUUAAUUUUAGCAAAGUUAAGUAAUCUAUUUUUUUAUUUUAUAGGAUGUUCUUACUGUGUCUUUCUUGUUUGAGAAAUCAUUCUCUAUCCUGGGUCAUGAAAAAUAUUUUCUUAUAAUUUCUUCUAACUGUUUUUCAUGUUUAGGUCACUAAAACAUCUAUAUUUUACUUUUGUUAAUGACAUGUCACAGCUCUGUUAUUAAAUAGUCUUUCUUUUCCCUAAUGAUUAGUGGUGACAUCUCUAACAUAUGCUACAUUCUUAUAUAUAGAUAGAAAUCUGUUCUCGGGUCCUCUGAUCUGUUUUAUUGGUUUAUUUAUCUAUUCCUGUGUUAAUUAGGAUGUUAAGAACCCAAGCUGCUAUUAUGAGAGUUCCAACAAUCAUGUGACUUAAAAAACAAAGUUUAUAUUUUAUGCACAUAACCUUGCAAGGUGAGCUCUGCUCCGUGGAGCCUUUCCUUCAUGCUGCUGGCCCAACACAGGUUGGCCAGGGGCUGUGCUCUUUGUCAUGUCCAUGCUAGGACCUCAGCUAAUGGAGCAGCCACUAUCUGAAAUGUUGGUGAUUGCCAUGGAAGAGAGAAAGAGAGUGCUGGAUGGUCUUGUACCAAUCAUUAAAUGUGUCCUCCUAGAAGUGACACACUUCACUUCAGCUCACAACUCAUUGGCCCCAUGUAACUGAAAGAGACCAGGAAAUGCAGGCCUAUCAUGUGCCACAAGGCAAAGAGCUGGGAAUGUUUGGGGAACAGUAUUAAUGACUAUAACACACAUGCAUUUUAAGUUUAUAAAUUUCCCUCGAAAUACGGCUUUAACUGCUCCUUAGAAAUUUUACCCAAGACUUUCAUUAUCAUUUUAAAAUAAGCAUCUCAUUUUGUAAUAGUUUUAGAUUUAAAGAAAAAUUAUGAAGAUAGGAACUGGAAAGUUUCCAUAUAACCCCUCUCAAUUUCCCUUACUUAACAUCUUAUAUUAGUAUGAUAUAUUUGUCAUUAUUAAUGAACCACAA